GAUGAACGCUGGCGGCGUGCCUAAUACAUGCAAGUCGAGCGAACGGACGAGAAGCUUGCUUCUCUGAUGUUAGCGGCGGACGGGUGAGUAACACGUGGAUAACCUACCUAUAAGACUGGGAUAACUUCGGGAAACCGUAGCUAAUACCGGAUAAUAUUUUGAACCGCAUGGUUCAAAAGUGAAAGACGGUCUUGCUGUCACUUAUAGAUGGAUCCGCGCUGCAUUAGCUAGUUGGUAAGGUAACGGCUUACCAAGGCAACGAUGCAUAGCCGACCGGAGAGGGUGAUCGGCCACACUGGAACUGAGACACGGUCCAGACUCCUACGGGAGGCAGCAGUAGGGAAUCUUCCGCAAUGGGCGAAAGCCUGACGAAGCAACGCCGCGUGAGUGAUGAAGGUCUUCGGAUCGUAAAACUCUGUUAUUAGGGAAGAACAUAUGUGUAAGUAACUGUGCACAUCUUGACGGUACCUAAUCAGAAAGCCACGGCUAACUACGUG
rnacentral:rRNA from 1 species